UAGGGAAUAUUGGUAAUGGGCGAAAGCCUGAACCAGCAACGCCGCGUGUGCGAUGAAGGCCUUCGGGUUGUAAAGCACUUUUGACCGGGACGAGGAAGGACGGUACCGGUGGAAUAAGCCUCGGCUAACUACGUGCCAGCAGCCGCGGUAAAACGUAGGAGGCGAGCGUUAUCCGGAUCUACUGGGUGUAAAGCGCGAGCAGGCGGUUAGCUAAGUUGGGUGUGAAAGCUCCUGGCUCAACUGGGAGAUGUCGCUCAAGACUGGCUGACUCAAAGAUGGUAGGAGAAGGUGGAAUUCCGGGUGUAGUGGUGAAAUGCGUAGAUAUCCGGAGGAACACCAGUGGCGAAGGCGGCCUUCUGGACCAUCACUGACGCUCAGACGCGAAAGCUAGGGCAGCAAACGG
rnacentral:rRNA from 1 species